rnacentral:rRNA from 1 species
GAUGAACGCUGGCGGCGUGCCUAAUACAUGCAAGUCGAGCGAACGGACGAGAAGCUUGCUUCUCUGAUGUUAGCGGCGGACGGGUGAGUACCACGUGGAUAACCUACCUAUAAGACUGGGAUAACUUCGGGAAACCGGAGCUAAUACCGGAUAAUAUUUUGAACCGCAUGGUUCAAAAGUGAAAGACGGUCUUGCUGUCACUUAUAGAUGGAUCCGCGCUGCAUUAGCUAGUUGGUAAGGUAACGGCUUACCAAGGCAACGAUGCAUAGCCGACCUGAGAGGGUGAUUGGCCAACCGGGAACUGAAACACGGUCCAGACCCCUACGGGAGGCAGCAGUUGGGAAUUUUCCGGAAUGGGCCAAAAGCUGAAGGAGCAAAGCCGGGUUAGUUAUGAAGGUCUUCGGAUCGUAAAACUCUGUUAUUAGGGAAAAAAAUAUGUGUAAGUAACUGUGCACAUCUUGACGGUACCUAAUCAGAAAGCCACGGCUAACUACGUG